rnacentral:rRNA from 1 species
AAUAGAUACCCAGGUAGUCCACGCCGUAAACGUUGGAUACUAGGUGUGGCGGUUAUACCAAUGACUGCCGUGCCGAAGCUAACGCAUUAAGUAUCCCGCCUGGGGAGUACGGCCGCAAGGCUAAAACUCAAAGGAAUUGACGGGUCCCCGCACAAGCGGCGGAGCAUGCGGCUUAAUUCGAUGCAACCCGAAGAACCUUACCUGGGUUUGACAUCACGGGAAAAGCUGUAGAAAUACAGUGUCCAUUAGGGCCCGUGACAGGUGGUGCAUGGCUGUCGUCAGCUCGUGUCGUGAGAUGUUGGGUUAAGUCCCGCAACGAGCGCAACCCUUGUCCUAUGUUGCCAGCGGUUCGGCCGGGGACUCAUAGGAGACUGCCGGGGAUAACUCGGAGGAAGGUGAGGACGACGUCAAGUCAUCAUGCCCCUUAUAUCCAGGGCUGCACGCAUGCUACAAUGGCCGGUACAACGGGCAGCGACCCCGCGAGGGUGAGCGAAUCCUAAAAAGCCGGUCCUAGUUCGGAUUGAAGUCUGCAACUCGACUUC